rnacentral:rRNA from 1 species
GAUGAACGCUGGCGGCGUGCUUAACACAUGCAAGUCGAACGGAAAGGCCCAAGCUUGCUUGGGUACUCGAGUGGCGAACGGGUGAGUAACACGUGGGUGAUCUGCCCUGCACUUCGGGAUAAGCCUGGGAAACUGGGUCUAAUACCGGAUAGGACCACAUUUUGGAUGGUGUGGUGGAAAGUUUUUCGGUGUGGGAUGAGCUCGCGGCCUAUCAGCUUGUUGGUGGGGUAAUGGCCUACCAAGGCGUCGACGGGUAGCCGGCCUGAGAGGGUGUACGGCCACAUUGAGACUGAGAAACGGCCCAGACUCCUACGAGAGGCAGCAGUGGGGAAUAUUGCACAAUGGGCGCAAGCCUGAUGAAGCGACGCCGCGUGGGGGAUGACGGCCUUCGGGUUGUAAACUCCUUUCGCUAGGGACGAAGCGUUUUUGUGACGGUACCUGGAGAAGAAGCACCGGCUAACUACGUG